CGCAUCUGUGCAUGCAGCAUAUCAAUAAGCGGAGGAAAAGAAACUGACAAGGAUUCCCCUAGUAACGGCGAGUGAAGCGGGAAGAGCUCAAAUUUGAAAUCUUAAAGGGUUUCCCUUUACGAAUUGUAGUUUAAAGAAGUGUUUUCUGUUGAGGUUUUGGUAAAAGUUCUUUGGAAUAGGACAUCAUAGAGGGUGAGAAUCCCGUAUUUGACCUUUACUUUCAACUUUGUGAUACACUUUCAAAGAGUCGGAUUGUUUGGGAAUGCAGUCCAAAAUGGGUGGUAAAUUUCAUCUAAAGCUAAAUAUCGGCGAGAGACCGAUAGCGAACAAGUACCGUGAGGGGAAAGAUGAAAAGAACCUUUGAAAAGAGAGUUAAACAGUACGUGAAAUUGUCAAAAGGGAAGCGUUUGACACCAGUGUUGUUUUUCUGAAAAUCAAUUAAAGAACUGUUUAUGCUAAGCUGUUUAGACUUUAUCAGCUAACUGUUUAGUUUUGAGCUUUUCUUUAAUGCACUUUUCAGUUAACAAGUCAACAUCAAUUUCUUUUGCUGUAAAAAAGCUUGAGGAAGGUGGCUUGAGAUUCGUCUUAAGUGUUUAUAGCCUCUUGCCUAUGCAGUCGGAGAGAUUGAGGUCUGCAGCGUAGAUCCUUCGGGGCUAAAUGCAUUUGUGCUAAGUUAUAGCAUUUUAUAGACAACUUGUUGACUAUGAUUUGUCUUGUAGCUUACUCGCUUAUGUUAUUUUACCUACGCUUAGGAUGUUGAGUCGUAGAGCACGCAG
rnacentral:rRNA from 1 species